CCAGGAGUGCAGGCCACAGCCCUGCAAGGAAGAAGCCCCUGGCACUUCCUCCUGUUUCCACAUCUGGCCAGUCCUGAGAGCAUGGACCAGGGAGCAGCUUCCACCAGCCUCCAGAGAUGCCUGCCCCUCAGAUGGCCCAGGACCCCUGCCCUGGUUAGGAAGCCUGCCGCAGCCUCCCAGCAAGUGAGCGGCCAGCCCUGACUCAGUUCCCUCCAAGGGCAAAAGUGUGCUAUCCCUGUAGCUGGAAGGGGCAGAGGGGAUUCCCCCCCAUGGCUGGUUCCUGCUCACUCAGUUUGGAUUUUGUGCUUCUGUAAGUGUCACAUGGACACAGGAUUGGGGGCCUGUAUCGACCAAAGAUCUUGGGAAUGAGGAGGCCGCCUUCUGCACAGGUGCGUCUUCCUCACCUUUGAUGUACUCGCAGUUGUAUGAGCUGUGCUUGCCCAGCGCCUUCAGGUAGAUGCGGGCAUGGCCGUGGGCCGGUCUGUUGGCGGUGAUGAGGUUGCAAACAGGGGGAUCAGAAUCUCCUCCUCCCUAGUGCAGAAGGAGUAGCCCUGGAUAGGGACGCGGAUACAGGUCAAGAUGCUGAAUAAGGUGUCAUUUCCGAACGGUGUGGCCACAUCUUACUUUAGGGAUAAAGAGGCAAAGCCCCCAGCCUGACAGUGGCCCCGGGCCCUGAUGGCCGGAAGCCCAGGCCUUUCACCCCCCAGAACACAUGACGGCACCGGACUGCAGCUGGUCCCUGCCCAGCAGCUGGAGGCACUGGGACAGGAGGGCUGAGACACACAGCCGCAAGCUUCCUAGGGCCCUGGUGGGGGCUGCAGCCUCAGGCCAGGUGCUCCCAAGGCGGGUAGCACCCAGUCCUUCAUCUCUCUGCUCCUCCUUCCAGGGUCCGGGAGAACCUGACAGCUCGGGUGCCUGCAGGGAUGGGGCCACUGGAGGACAGCCAUACCUGAAUUGCUUCCAGAAGGCCCAGGGACAGAAGGAGCAGAUUCGCCAUGGCAGGAACCCACAUGGUUGGGGCCACCCUGGUAUAGUUUCUCUCUCCUUAGACUCUCACUUUCCUCAUCUGGAAAAUUGCAGUGUUAACACGUACAGUUUAACAAGCAUGCACUGA
rnacentral:lncRNA from 1 species